AAGGCGUAACCGAAAAGCCUGUAAGAGAGUAGGGG
rfam:Capnocytophaga canimorsus strain CcD38 genome assembly, contig: CCAND38_Contig_84